UGGGGAAUAUUGCACAAUGGGCGCAAGCCUGAUGCAGCCAUGCCGCAUGUGUGAAGAAGGCCUCGGGUUGUAAAGCACUUUCAGCGAGGAGGAAGGUGGGUGAACUUAAUACGUUCAUCAAUUGACGUUACUCGCAGAAGAAGCACCGGCUAACUCCGUGCCAGCAGCCGCGGUAAUACGGAGGGUGCAAGCGUUAAUCGGAAUUACUGGGCGUAAAGCGCACGCAGGCGGUUUGUUAAGUCAGAUGUGAAAAUCCCCCGGGCUCAACCUGGGAACUGCAUUUGAAACUGGCAAGCUAGAGUCUCGUAGAGGGGGGUAGAAUUCCAGGUGUAGCGGUGAAAUGCGUAGAGAUCUGGAGGAAUACCGGUGGCGAAGGCGGCCCCC
rnacentral:rRNA from 1 species